rnacentral:rRNA from 1 species
UACGAAGGGGGCAAGCGUUGUCCGGAUUUAUUGGGCGUAAAGAGCGUGUAGGCGGCUUUACAGGUCCGUUGUGAAAACUCGAGGCUCAACCUCGAGACGCCGGUGGAAACCGUAAGGCUAGAGUCCGGAAGAGGAGAGUGGAAUUCCUGGUGUAGCGGUGAAAUGCGCAGAUAUCAGGAAGAACACCCGUGGCGAAGGCGGCUCUCUGGGACGGUACUGACGCUGAGACGCGAAAGCGUGGGGAGCGAACAGG